GUCUUUUUAGAAAUAAAUAAAAAGUCUAACCUGCCCACUGAAAAUAAUUGAAGGGCCGCGGUAUUUUGACCGUGCAAAGGUAGCAUAAUCAUUAGUCUUUUAAUUGGAGGCUCGUAUGAAUGGUUGAAUGAAGUAUAAGCUGUAUCAUAAAAAUUUAAAAUUGAAUUUUAUUUUUUAGUUAAAACGCUAAAAUAAAAUUAAAAGACGAGAAGACCCUAUAAAGCUUUACAAUUAUAAUCUAUUAUUUAUAAAGAAUUAUUUAAAUUUUAUUUUGAUAAUUGUUUUGUUGGGGUGACAAUAAGACUUAAAAAACUCUUAAACUUUUUAUACAUUAAUUUAUGAUUUAUUGAUCCGAUUUUAUCGAUUAAAAAUUUAAGUUACUUUAGGGAUAACAGCGUAAUUUUUUUAGAGAGUUCAUAUCGAUAAAAAAGAUUGCGACCUCGAUGUUGGACUAAGAAUUAUUUUAGGUGUAGAAGUUUAAAAUUUAGGUCUGUUCGACCUUUUAAUUCUU
rnacentral:rRNA from 1 species